GCGCGGGUGGCGAAAUUGGUAGACGCACUGGAUUUAGGUUCCAGCGCCGCAAGGUGUGGGGGUUCGAGUCCCCCCUCGCGCACCA
rnacentral:tRNA from 1 species